GCAGGGUCUCCUCUCUACAAAUGCACAUCAAGAGACUCAGCUCAUUAGACAGCAUCAGACAGAGGAAGGGACUAGAAGAGCAAGCCUGGAGUACCUGAGGAAGAGAACAGAAUGGGGCUAGCUAAGUUUGAGAGCAGGAAGGAGGAAAUGGGAAGGGAGCCUAGAUUCCCCUGAUGGGACAGUUCUAGGAUGCACCGGAUUUGGAAUGUCAGUGGGCACGUGUUGUGUCCUGCCUAGGGCUUAUGCAGUGAAGUGAAGUAUGGAAGCCCCAGUGUUCACAUAGCUCUGCACUUUCAGCUUCCAGAGCACCCAAUGCUGUUGCAGUAUGUGGGGUGUGCUGAAUGAGAGCCCACAGCAGCUGUUUCCCCGCGGGAUGGGUGACUGUAGCUCCAAAAACAGCUUGACAGCUGGAAGUCUUCAUCACCGAUUUGGUUAUUUUAUCCCAUCCUGGUGCAUGACAAGCUGAGAGAUGCUGCGCUCUAGCUGGGUGUCACAGCCAGACCCUCGGUGCCUACAGAACUCGGCUGGAAUGUCUUGGAUAGGACAUCAAACUUCCUGAAUAAUUGGCAACGUGUCCGUAAUUGGUUUCAGAUGCUCCCAGCUUGGAAUUCUCUAACCUUAUUAUGUCACGGAAUUCCGAAAGGCAACCGUUCUCCCGGAGGAAGGCUAGGUUCACGGAUUGACCUCUUGGCCUUUUGAACCCACCUUGAAAUCAGGACCUGGUUACCUGCACAAGUCAGCCUACUGUUGGUCACGGCCUGGGAUGCCUGGGUCCUCACUGUCAUGCUGGGUCUGUCCAGGAGGAAUGUUGUUGUAGCUGCUUUUUGGUUUGUUUAGCUCUUUUUCUUGGGAGUUUUCAGUAAGUCAGCUGAAUACUAAGGUGGAGACUGGCAUGGAGUGAUCCCUGGGCUUGCCCCUGCACACAGCAGGACACCACUACCAUGUCUAGUGUUAGACUAUUCAGUCCAGUUCAGUAGCAAACACAACACCUGAAUCAGCAGCUGCAGUCGGGUCCACUCAGUAGACAACACUCACGAAUCAGCAACUGCAGUUCAACCCAGAAGAAGCCGUGAAGCUCUCCGACCAGCCUGAGUCUAGCCAAAGUGGCAAGAAGCUGCAGGACCAUCACAGGAAGUUCUUCAUCGAGUUUCUCUCUAUGAAGUCACCACAAGCGAAGCUCAACAACACAAUCUAGAACCCGCUUUGUCCCAGGACGGCCUUGAACUUAGAAAUAUAUUUGGCUUUGUCUCCUGGGAUUAAAGAUUGAUGCCUCUGAAGUCAUGAGGAAGACAACACUUUUCUGCGGGACACUGGUAUGCUGCGUGUUUGCCACCAUAGUGGAUUGACGUGGCGAUGACAGUCUGACCAGCACAAGCCAGCACUUCUUUUUCCUGGACAACAAAUACCCAGCAAGUCAAUGAACAAGAGGAAAUGGCUCUGCCCAGCAAGAUGGAUGACCCACCUCUUCAUAGGAGGUGUGCUCAGACACAGCCAGACUCUGUGUACCUUUCCCUCAUGACCAGGUUUUGACCCUUUUGAAACCUUCAGUUGGUUCUAUCUUAUGGUACUUGUACAAACACACUUAGUGAAAAGGUGCUUGACAGAUAUUUGCACAUCAAACAGAGGGAAGCAACCCAAAACCCAGCCAGGAGUUAGGAGCACAAUCCCAGGGCUUCCCUUAGCAGGAGAUGGCCAGGCCGGUAAGUGGCUGCUCUUCUGUGUCUCAUAGGAUAGUCUCUGGAAGUUUUUAGACAUUUGUUUCUCUCUCUCUCUCUCUCUCUCUCUCUCUCUCUCUCUCUCUCUCUCUCUCCCUCCCUCUCC